rnacentral:rRNA from 1 species
GACGAACGCUGGCGGCGUGCUUAACACAUGCAAGUCGAACGGAAAGGCCCCUUUGGGGGUACUCGAGUGGCGAACGGGUGAGUAACACGUGAGUAACCUGCCCUUGACUUCGGGAUAACUUCAGGAAACUGGGGCUAAUACCGGCUAGGAAUCCUUGCUGCAUGGUGGGGGUUGGAAAGCUUCGGCGGUUUUGGAUGGACUCGCGGCUUAUCAGCUUGUUGGUGGGGUAGUGGCUUACCAAGGCUUUGACGGGUAGCCGGCCUGAGAGGGCGACCGGCCACAUUGGGACUGAGAUACGGCCCAGACUCCUACGGGAGGCAGCAGUGGGGAAUAUUGCACAAUGGGCGGAAGCCGGAUGCAGCAACGCCGCGUGCGGGAUGACGGCCUUCGGGUUGUAAACCGCUUUCAGCAGGGGCGAAGCUUGUGGUGACGGUACCUGCAGAAGAAGCACCGGCUAACUACGUG